GGGGUCGUAUGGUUUUGACAGCAAGCGUAGCGGUUGGGGUAAGCAUGUAGUGCGUUGGGUAAUUAGCACUUUAAUCUGAAUACCAAACAAUCAAAAGGCGAAACAAACUACGCCAUGGCUGCUUAAUUCAGUGAAUUAACUUCCAUUAUGGCCGAGCGAGCAGGUAGGCCCUUUACCCGCUCCUUAGCUUAAUCAAAACAAAAAGGGAUGCGAUAAGCAUAGGCUGUGCCGCUUAUUUAAGUACCAUACAGCUAAGUAAUCAAUUGGUUUGUGUUUUUCCUGUUGGUUGCCGACAAAUAAUAAAACAAUAAACAUGUAGAAGACCAAUGGUAACUUUGUUUGGACAGGGGUUCGACUCCCCUCGACUCCACUU
rnacentral:tmRNA from 1 species